rnacentral:misc_RNA from 1 species
UUGUGGAGGAGGACGCCGAAGGUGGGGCUAAUGACUGGGGUGAAGUCGUAACAAGGUAGCCGUACCGGAAGGUGCGGCUGGAUCACCUCCUAACAGGGAGACAACAAAAUGUUUAAUAUUAUUAUUUUGUCACCUUAGGUCGAUCGGUAUCUCACGUUCUUAAUUUAUUAAGAAUUUCAUUUCCUAAGUUUUUCUAGGUCACACCCAUUAUUUUUCCUGGGCCAUUAGCUCAGGUGGUUAGAGCGCACCCCUGAUAAGGGUGAGGUCCCUGGUUCAAGUCCAGGAUGGCCCAUAUCUCUAUGUUGGGGGUAUAGCUCAGUUGGUAGAGCGCCUGCUUUGCAAGCAGGAUGUCAGCGGUUCGAGUCCGCUUACCUCCACUGAUUACCACCUCUUCCAUAAUCUGUAGAAAGGAAAAAUUUUGAGUUGUGAUUACAAUUCUGAACGAAUCUAGCUUCCUAAUGAAAUCAUUAAGAUGCUGGACUCAUUGAAUUAAUUUCAUUGUUUUCAGAGAACCUUGACAACUGCAUAGAUUAUUUUUAAAGACAAUAAGCAUCUUUAUGAUGCAGAUUUAUUAUUUGUGCAAAUGCAUUAAUAACAAUUCUAUUAAGCUGAUGCUUCAAAUUUGAAGUUAUUGGUCAAGCUACAA